rnacentral:rRNA from 1 species
CCUACGGGCGGCAGCAGUGGGGAAUAUUGGACAAUGGGCGAAAGCCUGAUCCAGCCAUGCCGCGUGUGUGAAGAAGGCCUUCGGGUUGUAAAGCACUUUCAGUGGGGAAGAAAGCCUUGGGGCUAAUACCCUCGAGGAAGGACAUCACCCACAGAAGAAGCACCGGCUAACUCCGUGCCAGCAGCCGCGGUAAUACGGAGGGUGCGAGCGUUAAUCGGAAUUACUGGGCGUAAAGCGCGCGUAGGCGGUCUGAUAAGCCGGUUGUGAAAGCCCCGGGCUCAACCUGGGAACGGCAUCCGGGACUGUCAGGCUAGAGUGCAGGAGAGGAAGGUAGAAUUCCCGGUGUAGCGGUGAAAUGCGUAGAGAUCGGGAGGAAUACCAGUGGCGAAGGCGGCCUUCUGGACUGACACUGACGCUGAGGUGCGAAAGCGUGGGUAGCAAACAGGAUUAGAUACCCGAGUAGUC